CAAAGAUUAAGCAUUGCAUGU
rnacentral:misc_RNA from 1 species